AUGAUUCGCGAUCCCCAAACUGACUCAAUAGCAGCAGCAGGCCAGUGCCGCACGAUUCUGGUGUGUAAAGACGUUGAUAAAGACCGUCACCAUAGACUGUAUAAAAACACAGAAAACGCAAAGCAGCCGCCAGGCUCACUACAAGCAACCAGUGGUGUCACAGGCCUGAGACUCAGGAGGAAAAGGGGGGUUGACUUCAAUUGGAGCAUUACAUACAAGCCCAAACUAGUAUGAAUAAAUCAGCCCAAAUGCAGGAUGAUUUCAUUUGGCAUUCGGUUGAGGUGAAAGCAGAUCUAGUAAGUAAGAGGAACAUGUUCAUUAAAUAUUUAUCUUUAUUGAUAUAUUUAAAAACUUAUUUAGGAAAUAUAAAUAUAAAAUACACAAUGAACAUAUAAUUAGCUACAUGUUACUGGUAUUCAGAAAACAGUAUGUUUACAUCAAAGUACAGCAGAUCUGCUACAUCUUUUAUACGUUACUACCAGACAGGGUUUUGCAAGUGGAUUAAAUGGGAUAUUCUCCCCAAAAAUUAAAUUACCCAAUCGUUUACCCAACCUCACGUCAUUUCAAAUCUGUAUGUUUCUUUCGGUCUAAAAAAAAUCUAUUGUAAAAGCCAGCUUUUGUUGUUUAGACCUCAGUGUUCUUUAAAAUAUCUAUGUAUUUGUGUUACACAGAAGAAAGAAAUCCAGGUUUGGAAUUACAUGAAGUUGGCAAGAAAUAGAUUUUUUGGAUGAACUAUCUUUUUAACUUUGUGUUAGAUCACAUCUAAUAUUUCUCAAAAGAAAAGCAGUAUUUGUUUUUCUAAUGCUUUUUGGUACACCAACAUAUGGGAAGUACUUUUAGCAAAAGCUGAGUUUUCCAACUCUUUUGAGAUAGAGGAAAGGAUGCACAAACCCUGUCAUGAGCCCAAUACUCAAUGCCCCAGACCAGGACAAAAGAAACCUCUUUAAAUCUAUAAGAUAAUAAAGCCCAAGAGAAAUAAUCAUAGGGCCGUACAUAAGCACUGCAGAUGCCAACACAAUCCGAAUGAUCCGAAAAGCUUUGAGUUUGUCUUGGUUCGUUGCCUCUUUCCUCUUGAAGUCGUCACCAGGUCCAGGUUGCUUCAGAGCCUUCAGGACCAUCAAGCAGCUGAAAACUUUGAUGCUGAAAAAAACAAGCAGUUCUGGCAAAACUAAUUGAUGAAGUUCAAUGAUGUUCAGUGAAACUAUAAAGCUUGAGAUGACUGUCAGAAUCCAUCCGAUGAUGGAUAACGCAAUUCUGUAUUUCAUGGGUUUGAGCUUCAAGAAGGUCACGGGAUAGAGAACCCCUACGUAACGCUCCACACAAGUGCAGCUCUGAAACAGAGGACGGCCGACUAACAGCAGCAUACCAGGAAAGUAUACGCCAAACUUGCAAUUGGUACAGUUAAAGAAAUACUGCUGUAUGAUAAAAACAUAAGAAGAGCAGAAGACGACCUCAACGAGUGCCGCAUUGAAGAUGAAGAUUUCGGUCGACUGUCCCUGAAUCAUCUCUUUCACACUCAGCCACAGGAUGUAACAGUUUGCCGGUAGACUGAGAACCAUGUUGAUGCUGAGAGAGAAGGUAAUAAAGUAGUUGGGUAUAACAUAGCACAAGCUGUAGUUACCUGACAAAAUCAAUGGUGUGCAUGUUGAAGUGUUUGUUUGGUCCCACGUCACCAUUUUUUAAUCUAUAAGAAAACAAUAAAAAUUGGAGGAAGAGAUUGGUAUAGAAGAAAAUAAGUGUAAACAUUUUAAAAAACAAAAUUUGAUCUAAAGAAAAGUAUCUCACAAGAAAGUGUUCUUAGGCUUUUAAACACCAACACGUCCAAAGCACGCUGCCAACCGUGCUUCAAUUCAGCCGACUGAAGGUGGAACUGAUUGUGGUUUGCUUUAAAUGCUGCAGAGAUGAUUCAUAAUUCAGAUUUAUGACUUAUUGAGGAGUUUCAGACAUUUUGAGCAGUUUUGCAUUGAUGCAAUAUUCAAAUUCACGUUUUUCUAACAUGAGCAAUGGAUGUCAAGCAUGCAAAUGGAUGGCAGUUUAUUCCAACCACACUUGCAUUUGUAAAGUUGAAUAAUUUUGUCUGUUCAAUGUAAAAAAUUAUGAAUUUACUGUACAUAGAUUAGUACAAAACAGAUAUGGACAAAUGUAUACAUAUAUAUUAAAGGUGGACAUAGAUUAAUUUUUUAAAUCUAGAUUAAUCUCACUGUGAUCUUGAAAUUAAUCUAGAUUAAAAUGGCUCAUUCGAAUUCUGCCGAAGGCAUUCAGAAUAUGUGUGUUACCCAAAUAAAAUUGACAAACAGUAAGUCUUUGAGAAGGGGUUUAUCAAGCUAGGUGGUGCAUUAGUAAAGGGGCUCAUCUCCUGUUUCCGAAAUGCAUCACAAAGUGCUUGAAAAAGCUGUAAACUAAUUCCACAUUGCACAAGGUGCAAACAACUUUACGCCUGUUUCACACCAAUAUUUAAGUUUU
ensembl:lncRNA